CAGUAGCCGCGGGAAUACGAGGGGGGCAAGCGUUGUUCGGAAUUAUGGGGCGUAAAGGGUGCGUAGGCGGUCUGGCAAGUCUUGUGUGAAAUCUUCGGGCUCAACCCGAAGCCUGCACGAGAAACUGCCGGGCUUGAGUAUUGGAGAGGUGAGUGGAAUUUCCGGUGUAGCGGUGAAAUGCGUAGAUAUCGGAAGGAACACCUGUGGCGAAAGCGGCUCACUGGACAAUAACUGACGCUGAUGCACGAAAGCUAGGGGAGCAAACAGGAUUAGAUACCCCUGUAGUCCCUGUCUCUUAUAC
rnacentral:rRNA from 1 species